rfam:Asian citrus Psyllid, Diaphorina citri - Florida Strain, whole genome shotgun sequence.
GCCUAGUUAGCUUAGUUGGUAGUGCGUCUGCCUUGUAAGCGCUAGGCCGCGGGUUUGAUUCCCGCCCGGGGC